ensembl:lncRNA
CUCAGACACUUAUUUCUCCCUUAUCCAAAUAACAAGAGACUGUUCACAUUUUGAAUUACUUUCACUCUUCUUCCUCUCACUCCCUCACACACACACACAAAAAAAGCACACAACAGAGUACAGCAUUAUCAAUGCCAUAUUGACUGAUUGCUGGCUUUACAUAUAUAUCAUAAUAUGUGUAAGUGACCCUAUUGCCACUGUUGCUAUCAGCAUAUGCACGUCAGGACAUGACAUAUCAGCUGACCAGGAAAGCAGAGAGGAAUCACCUGACAGGGACCUGGAUACCUGCAAGAAGAUGCACAACAGAAGAUCAAAUCACCCCUUCAGUGCCAGCAGCAUCACAGACGUCAUAUGGGUCAUGGUCUGAGGCAUAUAUUGAUACACAUGCUAAAAAGAUGCUUCUAAUUUUUUUUUUUAAGCCUAUAAACCAGCCUCUAAAUUGUAACAGGUUUCUUAAUGAUAUUAUAAGC